rnacentral:rRNA from 1 species
CACUUUGUCUUAAUGGCAAAUGUGAGAUGCAGUGUAUGGAAUGUCAAAUUUCUAGUAUGAGAAAUUAACGAUUUAAGUCCUUCUUAAAUGAGGCCAUUUACCCAUAGAGGGUGCCAGGCCCGUAUAACGUUAAUGAUUAUUAGAUGGCAUUUCCAAAGAGUCGUGUUGCUUGAUAGUGCAGCACUAAGUGGGUGGUAAACUCCAUCUAAAACUAAAUAUAACCAUGAGACCGAUAGUAAACAAGUACCGUGAGGGAAAGUUGAAAAGAACUCUGAAUAGAGAGUUAAAUAGUACGUGAAACUGCUUAGAGGUUAAGCCCGAUGAACCUGAAUAUCCUAAUUAUAGAAAAUUCAUCAUUAUGAUUGUAAUAUUUAUAUAUAUUAUAAUAAUAGUGUGCAUUUUUUCUAUAAUGGACAUUGUAAUCUAUUGACAUAAAUUAAAUUUAUCAUAAGAUCAAUUACGUAAGUUUAUUCAAAUUAUUUUGCUUGCAACUUAACAUAAAAUAAAUGUUUUUGAUUUGAUAAAGUGUUGAUAGAUUUAUUACAUAUAGUGCUUGAAUAUAUUUUUUAUAUUCUAUAAUAGCAUAUUAAUUAUUAAUUUUUAUGUUUAUUUUAUGCACUCAUAUGAUUAACAAUGCGAAAGAUUCAGGAUACCUUCGGGACCCGUCUUGAAACACGGACCAAGGAGUCUAACAUAUUUGCAAGUUAUUGGGAAUAAAAACCUAAUAGCGAAAUUAACAUAACUUAAAUUAAUUGGGAUUAGUUUUUAGCCUAUUAUAGUCUAUCAAUUCAAUCCCGGGGCGUUCUAUUGUUAUGUAUAAUAAUAUUUAUAUUAUUUAUACCUCUAACUAGAGCGUACCUUGAGCAUAUAUGCUGUGACCCGAAAGAUGGUGAACUAUACUUGAUCAGGUUGAAGUCAGGGGAAACCCUGAUGGAAGACCGAAACAGUUCUGACGUGCAAAUCGAUUGUCAGAAUUGCAGUAUAGGGCG